GAGUGGACUCCUACGGGAGGCAGCAGUGGGGAAUAUUGCACAAUGGGCGCAAGCCUGAUGCAGCGACGCCGCGUGAGGGAUGGAGGCCUUCGGGUUGUAAACCUCUUUCGCCAGUGAAGCAGGCCUGCUCCUUGUGGGUGGGUUGACGGUAGCUGGAUAAGAAGCGCCGGCUAACUACGUGCCAGCAGCCGCGGUAAUACGUAGGGCGCGAGCGUUGUCCGGAAUUAUUGGGCGUAAAGAGCUCGUAGGCGGCUGGUCGCGUCUGUCGUGAAAUCCUCUGGCUUAACUGGGGGCUUGCGGUGGGUACGGGCCGGCUUGAGUGCGGUAGGGGAGACUGGAACUCCUGGUGUAGCGGUGGAAUGCGCAGAUAUCAGGAAGAACACCGGUGGCGAAGGCGGGUCUCUGGGCCGUUACUGACGCUGAGGAGCGAAAGCGUGGGGAGCGAACAGGAUUAGAUACCCUUGUAGUCCU
rnacentral:rRNA from 1 species